AAAGUCUGACCUGCCCAAUGAAUUUAGUUUGAAUGGCCGCGGUACUUUGACCGUGCAAAGGUAGCAUAAUAAUUAGUUUUUUAAUUGAGAACUGGUAUGAAAGGUUGGACGAGAAAAAUACUGUCUCAAUUUAAUUUAAAUUAGAAUUUUAUUUUUAAGUUAAAAAGCUUAAAUAAUUUUAAAAGACGAGAAGACCCUAUAGAGUUUUACAUUAUAUUUAAUAUUGAAUUUGAAGUAUAAUAAAGUUAGAUGAUAAAAUAUAGUGUUUUGUUGGGGUGACAGAAAAAUUGAAAGAACUUUUUUUUUAUUAAACCAUUAAUUUAUGAUUUGAUGAUCCA
rnacentral:rRNA from 1 species